UAGACUGAUAUAAAAGUUUGAAACUUUUUUUUUCGUGUUUUUACGACAGUUUAG
rnacentral:tRNA from 1 species